rnacentral:misc_RNA from 1 species
AAAAAAAAAAAAAAGGGAAGGAAACAGCGGCAUCCCAUUCCCUGUAUCAGCCACAUGGAAGCCAUUCUUUGCUACUACUGCUCAACCUUCUGCCAUUCACUCAGCUCCAUAACUAAAUUUCUUUAGCCUCCAGGUAGUUAAGCACACAGAAUUGUUUCCCUCCUUGCAUCUUCCAUAUGAUGAUUUCGGACUUUUGAGGUAUAAUUUCAAUCAGUUCUACUUCUUUCAGAUGGAAGUACGAAGGAUAACAGGUAUCUAUGUCAUGACUGUGUGUUUGCUGUCUUGUUG